CCUACGGGUGGCAGCAGUGAGGAAUAUUGGUCAAUGGGAGGAAGCCUGAACCAGCCAAGUAGCGUGCAGGAUGACGGCCCUACGGGUUGUAAACUGCUUUUAUCCGGGAAUAACGCGCCUUACGUGUACGGCUUUGCGUGUACCGUAUGAAUAAGGAUCGGCUAAUUCCGUGCCAGCAGCCGCGGUAAUACGGAAGGUCCGGGCGUUAUCCGGAUUUAUUGGGUUUAAAGGGAGCGUAGGCGGUAUGUCAAGCGUGCUGUGAAAUGUCCGGGCGCAACCCGGGCCGUGCAGCGCGAACUGGCGGACUUGAGUCCGCGGAAAGCAGGCGGAAUUCGUCGUGUAGCGGUGAAAUGCUUAGAUAUGGCGAAGAACCCCGAUUGCGAAGGCAGCUUGCUGCAGCGGAACUGACGCUGAUGCUCGAAAGCGCGGGUAUCGAACAGGAUUAGAUACCCUUGUAGUC
rnacentral:rRNA from 1 species